AACGAACGCUGGCGGCAGGCUUAACACAUGCAAGUCGAACGGAUCCUUCGGGAUUAGUGGCAGACGGGUGAGUAACGCGUGGGAACGUACCCUUUGCUACGGAAUAACUCAGGGAAACUUGAGCUAAUACCGUAUGUGCCCUACGGGGGAAAGAUUUAUCGGCAAAGGAUCGGCCCGCGUUGGAUUAGCUAGUUGGUGGGGUAAUGGCCUACCAAGGCGACGAUCCAUAGCUGGUCUGAGAGGAUAAUCAGCCACACUGGGACUGAGACACGGCCCAGACUCCUACGGGAGGCAGCAGUGGGGAAUAUUGGACAAUGGGCGCAAGCCUGAUCCAGCCAUGCCGCGUGAGUGAUGAAGGUCUUAGGACUGUAAAGCUCUUUCACCGGUGAAGAUAAUGACGGUAGCCGGAGAAGAAGCCCCGGCUAACUUCGUG
rnacentral:rRNA from 1 species